GAUGAACGCUGACAGAAUGCUUAACACAUGCAAGUCGAUUCGAUUUACCUUCGGGUAUUGAGGAUGGCGGACGGGUGAGUAACGCGUAAGGAACUUGCCUCUUGGUCUGGGACAACUGUUGGAAACGACAGCUAAUACCGGAUAUUAUGAGAUUCUCGCAUGGGAAACUUAUGAAAGCUAUAUGCGCCAAGAGAGAGCCUUGCGUUCCAUUAGCUAGUUGGUGGGGUAACGGCCCACCAAGGCGACGAUGGAUAGCCGGCCUGAGAGGGUGAACGGCCACAAGGGGACUGAGACACGGCCCUUACUCCUACGGGAGGCAGCAGUGGGGAAUAUUGGACAAUGGGCCACAAGCCUGAUCCAGCAAUUCUGUGUGCACGAUGAAGGUCUUCGGAUUGUAAAGUGCUUUCAGUUGGGAAGAAGAAAGUGACGGUACCAACAGAAGAAGCGACGGCUAAAUACGUGCCAGCAGCCGCGGUAAUACGUAUGUCGCAAGCGUUAUCCGGAUUUAUUGGGCGUAAAGCGCGUCUAGGCGGAAAAAUAAGUCUGAUGUUAAAAUGCGGGGCUCAACUCCGUAUUGCGUUGGAAACUGUUUUUCUAGAGUACUGNAGAGGUGGGCGGAACUACAAGUGUAGAGGUGAAAUUCGUAGAUAUUUGUAGGAAUGCCGAUGGAGAAGUCAGCUCACUGGACAGAUACUGACGCUAAAGCGCGAAAGCGUGGGGNAGCAAACAGGAUUAGAUACCCUGGUAGUCCACGCCGU
rnacentral:rRNA from 1 species